GGUAAUUAGUUAACCGCGUAGUUCCCUUACAAGCACAUCAAUAUGAAUGUGUUGCUAGUUGUUCUGCCAGUUUUACUUUUAAUCCCUAUUAUUGCUGGAAAAGUUGUAAUUGCUGAAAACACAGCAACUCUUCCAAAUACCAUUGCCAGCCGCGAGGACCUAGUUACAUUGUCAAAAUAUUACGUCAGCAUUCACAAGCCGUAUAAUGUGAAGAAAUAUGUGCCGUAUAGGCCAACAAACAAGACAAAUAUAUUGCAAAUCCCUCCAGCAUUAUUAUUACCGGCAGUGCCAAAGCGCACAACUCAAACGCCCACCAAUGAUUUCGAUUGGGGGAAUGCUGAAGACGAUAUCGAAGUAAUUAGUGAUAUACCAAAUUAUUCUACUGAACAAUCCGCGAGUACCACGGAAAUUCCCGAGAUGUCCACAUCAUUGCUAACUAUAAUUGGAACAACGCCAGGCUUCGAAGCAACCACACCUUAUUACUAUAUCAAUACCAAAGAUUCGAGCACCGAAGAGGACUAUUCAAAUAGCUCCACAACAGAGCCAACGCCUGAAGCUACCAUUACAACAAGCUCACUAGCACCUGAGUCUGAAUCAAUAACCGAAACAAGCUCUACAUCUUUCAUGGAUACGACCGCUGGAAAUGAUUUUACUACAGAACCAACAUCAACCCAGCCAGAAGCGACAACCGAAAUGGAAAACCUAAAAAGUUUACAUCAAUUGGCCACGGAAACAACGCCAACGAUUGAUGUCACCACCAAUAUAAAUUGGGCGUUGCCAACAACAUUGUCCCAGUCAACAACCGAUGUUUCCAUUUCCACAACUCAAGAACCGCAAACAUCAACGUCAGCUGAAACAGAAUCUACCACAAACAUUGCUAGUACUACAAUGCAAUACACAACCGAAUCAACAACUACAAUCGAUUUACCAGAUACUACGAAUUUAGCUAUAUCCACAACUGAUGGAACUACAUACUCCCAGACAGUGACUUCAAACGAAUCAGCAGAUGAAACGACUUCUCUGCCUAUAUUUAAAUCUUCUCGAACCGAGACGUCAAUCGAUUUGCCAGACACAACCAAAUUUAUAUCCACAACUGAAUCGCCAUCAAGAACAUCUUCUCAGCAGGACACUACAACUGAUAAACCAGACACAACUACAAUUCUCGCAGUUACAUCCACAACCGAAACAUCUGAAAGUAAUUCAACUGAAAUUCCACUUACUCUGGCAAACACUUUUGCAGUUGAAAGUACUACUAGGGCUAUUAUUCAAGAGACGACCACAGCAGUGACAGCUAAAACUACCGUAAAAAAUGCUGUAUUUGUUGAUGAUAUAAUUCAACCUAAGCCGAGAAAGUUCACUUAUUCUUCAGAUGUAAUGCCCGAAACGGAUUGGGAUUGAUUGGAUUGGGAGUAAAUAAAAAAUAGUGAAAAAAAUAUUAACCGAGUUGUUUUAUUUGGGACCAUGCAUAUUUACUCAUAUAUCUAUAUCAUAAAAAUAACUAAAAGUCUUUGCACUUGAAUUAUAUAUUCAAUGUCGAAACAUUAUUUAAAUAAACCGCCAAGGGCUGCCAGAUAGUUGAGUUGCAGCUACCAGGGCUGGCAUAUGCGCAAACAGCUGCUGAAAUAUAUCUACUGGCAACAUUCUUACUCUUCUACCUGGUGUGCCUCGCAGCCCUAUCAACCGAAAGCGAAAAUAUUAAAGAUGUUUAAGUUAACAAGGCUUAUCGCUCGAAAUGUGAAUGCUGUCCAUUUAAGAGGCACGCAACAACUAUUACCUCGCUCGUUCGCCAAUGCGCCUGCUGUGAGUGAGACGGAAAACACAUCGACAACAAAAAAUGCCGACGAACCCAUUGAUAUACCAAAUCCUUUUGAAAAGGACCCACAGCUGUGCAUAUUGUGCAAGCA